UUUCCGUAGGUGAACCUGCGGAAGGAUCAUUACAAGUCUUGGUGGGGUUCUCUGGGGCUCCUGGUGGGGCUCCGGUGGGCCGACACAUUAGCACGGGGCCGCGAGGUCCUGAUGUCUACGCUUGCAUGUUUGACAGAGUUAAAUUGUGACCUUAAAUGACAACUUUUAACAACGGAUCUCUUGGCUCUU
rnacentral:misc_RNA from 1 species